GUGCUUGCUGCGGCAGCACAUAUACUAAAAUUGGAAUGAUACAGAGAAGAUUAGUGUGGCCCCUGCCCAAGGGUGACACGCAAAUUUGAGGAGUGUUCCAUGUUUUU
ensembl:snRNA U6 U6 spliceosomal RNA